GGAGCAGUACAAACGAUCGCUGGAUAUUUUAUCCGGAGGAAAGUCCGAACACCACAGGGCAGGGUGCUCCAUAACGUGGAGUCACGGUGACGUGAAGGAAAGUGCAACAGAAAGUAUACCGCCUUUUUUGGCGAUCUGUAAAGAUCUGCUAAAAAAGGUAAGGGUGAAAAGGUGCGGUAAGAGCGCACCAGUUCCCCGGGU
rnacentral:RNase_P_RNA from 1 species